rnacentral:rRNA from 1 species
GACGAACGCUGGCGGCGUGCCUAAUACAUGCAAGUCGAGCGGACUGAAUGGGAGCUUGCUCUUGUUCGGUCAGCGGCGGACGGGUGAGUAACACGUGGGCAACCUGCCCGCAAGACCGGGAUAACUCCGGGAAACCGGAGCUAAUACCGGAUAACACCGAAGACCGCAUGGUCUUUGGUUGAAAGGCGGCGCAAGCUGCCACUUGCGGAUGGGCCCGCGGCGCAUUAGCUAGUUGGUGAGGUAACGGCUCACCAAGGCGACGAUGCGUAGCCGGCCUGAGAGGGUGACCGGCCACACUGGGACUGAGACACGGCCCAGACUCCUACGGGAGGCAGCAGUAGGGAAUCUUCCGCAAUGGGCGAAAGCCUGACGGAGCGACGCCGCGUGAGCGAAGAGGGCCUUCGGGUCGUAAAGCUCUGUUGUGAGGGACGAAGGAGCGCCGUUUGAAGAAGGCGGCGCGGUGACGGUACCUCACGAGGAAGCCCCGGCUAACUACGUG